CAUAGGUUAAUGAGGCGAACCGGGGGAACUGAAACAUCUAAGUACCCCGAGGAAAAGAAAUCAACCGAGAUUCCCCCAGUAGCGGCGAGCGAACGGGGAGCAGCCCAGAGCCUGAAUCAGUAUGUGUGUUAGUGGAAGCGUCUGGAAAGGCGCGCGAUACAGGGUGACAGCCCCGUACACAAAAAUGCACAUGCUGUGAGCUCGAUGAGUAGGGCGGGACACGUGGUAUCCUGUCUGAAUAUGGGGGGACCAUCCUCCAAGGCUAAAUACUCCUGACUGACCGAUAGUGAACCAGUACCGUGAGGGAAAGGCGAAAAGAACCCCGGCGAGGGGAGUGAAAAAGAACCUGAAACCGUGUACGUACAAGCAGUGGGAGCACGCUUAGGCGUGUGACUGCGUACCUUUUGUAUAAUGGGUCAGCGACUUAUAUUCUGUAGCAAGGUUAACCGAAUAGGGGAGCCGAAGGGAAACCGAGUCUUAACUGGGCGUUAAGUUGCAGGGUAUAGACCCGAAACCCGGUGAUCUAGCCAUGGGCAGGUUGAAGGUUGGGUAACACUAACUGGAGGACCGAACCGACUAAUGUUGAAAAAUUAGCGGAUGACUUGUGGCUGGGGGUGAAAGGCCAAUCAA
rnacentral:rRNA from 1 species